rnacentral:rRNA from 1 species
CCUACGGGUGGCUGCAGUGAGGAAUAUUGGACAAUGGGCGCAAGCCUGAUCCAGCCAUGCCGCGUGCAGGAUGACGGUCCUAUGGAUUGUAAACUGCUUUUAUACGAGAAGAAACACUCCUUCGUGAAGGAGCUUGACGGUAUCGUAAGAAUAAGGAUCGGCUAACUCCGUGCCAGCAGCCGCGGUAAUACGGAGGAUCCAAGCGUUAUCCGGAAUCAUUGGGUUUAAAGGGUCCGUAGGCGGUCUUGUAAGUCAGUGGUGAAAGCCCAUCGCUCAACGGUGGAACGGCCAUUGAUACUGCUAGACUUGAAUUAUUAGGAAGUAACUAGAAUAUGUAGUGUAGCGGUGAAAUGCUUAGAGAUUACAUGGAAUACCAAUUGCGAAGGCAGGUUACUACUAAUGGAUUGACGCUGAUGGACGAAAGCGUGGGUAGCGAACAGGAUUAGAUACCCCUGUAGUC